rnacentral:rRNA from 1 species
GACGGAAGGUGCAAGCGUUGCUCGGAAUCACUGGGCGUAAAGGGUGCGUAGGCGGCCGUGCAAGUCUGGCGUGAAAGCCCCGGGCUCAGCCCGGGAAGUGCGCUCGAAACUGCGCGGCUCGAGUGCCGGAGGGGAGAGUGGAAUUCCUGGUGUAGCGGUGAAAUGCGUAGAUAUCAGGAGGAAUACCGGUGGCGAAGGCAGGUCUCUGGGCCGAUACUGACGCUGAGGAGCGAAAGCGUGGGGAGCGAACAGG